rnacentral:rRNA from 2 species
CCGUUGAUUGACGUGCUUGCACUGAUUUCAACAUUGGAACGAGUGGCGAACUGGUGAGUAACACGUGGAAAACCUGCCCAGAAGCAGGGGAUAACACUUGGAAACAGGUGCUAAUACCGUAUAACAACAAAAACCGCAUGGUUUUUGUUUGAAAGGUGGCUUCGGCUAUCACUUCUGGAUGGUUCCGCGGCGCAUUAGCUUGUUGGUGGGGUAACGGCUCACCAAGGCGAUGAUGCGUAGCCGACCUGAGAGGGUAAUCGGCCACAUUGGGACUGAGACACGGCCCAGACUCCUACGGGAGGCAGCAGUAGGGAAUCUUCCACAAUGGACGCAAGUCUGAUGGAGCAAUGCCGCGUGAGUGAAGAAGGGUUUCGGCUCGUAAAACUCUGUUGUUGAAGAAGAACGGGUGUCAGAGUAACUGUUGACAUCGUGACGGUAUUCAACCAGAAAGCCACGGCUAACUACGUGCCAGCAGCCGCGGUAAUACGUAGGUGGCAAGCGUUGUCCGGAUUUAUUGGGCGUAAAGCGAGCGCAGGCGGUUUCUUAAGUCUGAUGUGAAAGCCUUCGGCUUAACCGAAGAAGUGCAUCGGAAACUGGGGAACUUGAGUGCAGAAGAGGACAGUGGAACUCCAUGUGUAGCGGUGGAAUGCGUAGAUAUAUGGAAGAACACCAGUGGCGAAAGCGGCUGUCUAGUCUGCAACUGACGCUGAGGCUCGAAAGCAUGGUAGCGAACAGGAUUAGAUACCCUGGUAGUCCAUGCCGUAACGAUGAGUGCUAGUGUUGGAGGGUUUCGCCCUCAGUGCGCAGCUACGCAUAGCACUCGCUGGGGAGUACGACGCAAGGUGAAACUCAAAGGAAU